rnacentral:rRNA from 1 species
UACAGAGGUCCCAAGCGUUGUUCGGAUUUACUGGGCGUAAAGGGUGCGUAGGUGGUGAGGUAAGUCUGAUGUGAAAUCUCCGAGCUUAACUCGGAAAUGGCAUUGGAAACUACCUUGCUAGAGGGUUGGAGGGGAGACUGGAAUACUUGGUGUAGCAGUGAAAUGCGUAGAUAUCAAGUGGAACACCAGUGGCGAAGGCGAGUCCCUGGACAACUACUGACACUGAGGCACGAAAGCUAGGGGAGCAAACAGG